ensembl:lncRNA
CGUCAACAUGUGGCCAGGCCUGGGCUGUGUGGAAGGUCCCAGGCCUGCUGCUCGGUGUCCCCCGACGGAGAAGCCAGCCCUACGAGAAAGACCAUCCAGUCACAAUGCUGGUGGGGUGAAGCUGACAGCUCUUGAGUUAAUAAGAUGUUGUUUAAUUUUUGGCAGACUUUCUUCCCUUUUUGAUGGCAGAUGAAAGGGCAGUGUUUAAAUAUGUUAUUAUCAAAGCGUAAGCACUAGAGGGCAGCAGCCACCCAAGAGUUGCAGAUGAGGGGUGUCUGGAGGAAGCUGGAGAUCAGGUGAGUGGAAUCCGAGGGGCUGCAGGAGACCCUUACAGAAUGAUUUAAGUGAUUCUAAAUCAGACGAGGCUUUGGACAACCGCUGUGAAGUCCGUGAAAGCCGAGCAGACAGGAUGCCCCUCCUCCUGACAACGAGGCCUCCCUCGUGAGCUUGUGCCAGAGAAGAGGGAGCAUUCGCGCCAGGCCUUCACACACAGGAACACCAGCGUCACUGCCACUUACACUUCCGUCCGUGUCACCUGGAGAGGUGGUGGCGAGUCGCUCUCUGAGCACGUGGGUGUGGAGACGCCGGGGAAGCAUGGGGUGGAUCCUGGGAGCAGAAGAAUGAGAGGCAGUGUGACCCGAGGCUCAUGAGCAGACUGUGGCAGGUGUUGAAGAGAGGGGCUGAGGGACUGAAGCGGCAGAGGCACAACCCUGAAGAGCAAUUUUGGCAUGGGGACAAGCUGCUGGGAAUCGACCUCUCACAGCUCUGCUGUCCCAGGGAUUGAACUCGGGUCCUUGAGCUUGCGCAGCAGGCGGCGAAACCACUGAGCUGAAUCCCCACCCCCCUAAACUUAUAUUUAAUAUUUUUCUUUUACAAAAAUUAGAACAUGGGCCUGGGAUGUAGCUCAGUGGCUCUGUGUUUGCCUCGAAAGAGCAAGGUCCUAAGCUCCUCCACCGCCAUCCCAAGCUCCUAGGGCAGAGAAGGUGAGCCACGUGGGCGCCAGAAGCACCGCCCCCCCCCCCCCGCCCCGUGGAAAUGAGAAGACACAUAAACAAGCCUCAAAAACAGACUUCUGGAUCACCUACAGCAACCCCAAAGAGAAACGAGAUGGAACAAUCUGAUACUCAACCACCUGGACUCUCUGAACUGGCAACAAAAGAGGAUCUGGGAAAAAUGAAAUCAGAAAUAAUUUCUCAGAUAACAGCAAAGAUUUUGCUCAUGGUGCAAGACAUGAAAGAGCAAGGUCCUGAGUUCAAUCCUUACCACCAUCAAAAAAAAAAAAUUAAGGCAUACUGCCAUCCCUGUAUCAACUCACUCAGUACUACAUUUUGGCAGUCUUGCUAAAUUUACUUUGUUUUCUUAAAUAACUGCCUAAUAAGCUGUUUCUGACAAUGCUACCAUCAUUUAAUUGAAUAGAUCUCCAAGUUGAAGGACCCUGGGGCUGCUUUUAAUGUUUGGUAUUUGAGUUAAAUUUUAAAUAAGAGAAGAGACACACAUUGAUGAAGGGAGGAUUCUAGGUUAUGAAAAAAAAUCUUGAUUGAUCGAUCGAUUGAUUGUAGAACUGGGGAUUGAACCCAAGGGUUUCCCCAUGUUAGGGAAGCACUCUACCACUGAGCUACCUCCCUGUCCCUUUUCUUUUUAUUUUGAGACAGAGCCUUGCUAAAUGGUCCAGGCAGGCCUUGAACAUGGAAUCCUCCUGCCUCAGCCUCUGGAGUAGCUGGGAGUAUAGGUGUGGGUCACCAUGCCUGGCUUGGAAAGAUGUUUAUACAUAAACAGGGGACCCUAGCAUUUUUGUCUCAGGAGCUACUCUUGCUUGUGGAAGUGAACAUAUUAAUGAGGACGGAGGUGGGAAAGAAUGGAUGUUUGUGCAGGCCUUUGAGUCUGUGAGUUGGGCUGUGACAUGUCGCACAGGACUGGGGAGAAGCUGGCCACAGCUCCUCUAGACCAGGAGAGGAGCUGCCCCAGGAUCCCUCCGGAGACGCACGCUCUUGCUAUCCCCAGCUGUCCCCCUUAUUGUCAACCGACCAUUAGCAUGGUUUUCUGGGCCCCGUUUUCAAGCUAGAAACGUGAAGGGUUCGAAAGGACACAGGAGAGACCUAGAGCUUUUGGGGAAAUUUGUUCAGGGAGAUGAGACUCGAGAAGCGAGCCUUAUGUCUCAGGCUGCCUCCCACCAGUUCCUCCAUUCUGUCCUCUGCCUGCUGAUGUUGGAAGAAUCAGUCUGGAAGCUGCUGUUUACCAGUGGCAUAGUCUUGAGUAACAUCUCCAAGCUUCAGUUCCUCCAUCCAUAAAAUGGGCAGAAUGUUCAACUGGCAGCAGUGUGGGGAAGAUUGAAUGAGUUGAUGGAUGUGGAGGGUCUGUGUUUCAUUUUGCCUUUCUUUCCCAAGGCCUGGCCAGAGUAGAGUUUACGAGGCAGUGUGCCAUCUACCCUAAGAUGAUAGAGAAAAGCAUAUUCUACUCUUCCCUGGGCCGGCCGGCCAAUGUAAGCAUCCCACACUUGCGUUCUUUGUUGAAAAUACUCCUAAAAGUUAGGGGAUUCUCCCCAGAUUUUUUUAUAUUUGUAUAGCACUGUAUGGCUUGCAAAGGACUUCAACAAUGAUCUAAUGUGAACCUCCUAACAAACUCUGGGAAAGGGCACUUUUUUUUUUAUACCAGGGAUUGAACUCAGGACCUUGGGCUUGCCAGGCAGGCUCGGUGCCACUAAGCUAAAUCCCUGGCCCAAGGGCACAUUUUAUUCCCACUUGACAGAUGACAAAACCAAGGCUCGGAGUGCUUGAUUUAAGAAUCUGAGGCUCCAAGAAGAUAUAUGAAUGAAUAGCAGAGACCAAAAAUAGGUAAAUUCUAUGAAAGACGUCUAUAAUGAAAACUAUGAAAAAGGAGAUCAAAGAGGACGCCAGAAAUUGGAAAGAUACCCCUUGCUCCUAGAUAAGCAGAACCAACAUUGUCAACAGGACCAUAUUACCCAAGCUGAUAUAUAGAUUUAAUUCAAUCCCAGUUAAAAUAGCAACAGCACACCUCACGGAACUAAAGAAAACAAUCCUAAAAUUCACACAGAUCUAGAAGAGACCCAGCAAAAGUAAUGCUGGACACCAAGAGCACAAGGGGCAUCACAAGCCCAGAUUUCAAGUUAUAUUAUAAAGUUACAGUGAAAAAGCAGCAUGGUGUUGGUAUAGAAACAGAUUUGUAGAUCAGUGCAACAGAAUAGAAGACACAGAAGCAACCCGGGCAUAUUCAGCCAUCUCAUUUUUGAUGAAGGGGCACAAAACAUGCUGGAAGGAAGAGCCUCAUUACCAGAGGAUACUGGGAAAACUGGUUAUAACAAGGAGAAGACUGAAUCUGAAGACGGGCAUGGUGCCACACACCUGUGAUCCCAGCACUUGGGAGGCUGAGGCAGGAGGAUUGCCAUGAGUUCGAGGCCAACCUGGGCUACAUAGUGAGUUCAAGGUCAGCCUGAACUACACAGUGAGACCCUGUCUCAACUCCCCUGUGCCAGGAAAAGAUUGUGAAUCUAGACCCAUGUCUAUAACCAUGUACCAAAAUAAAAUCAAAAUGGAUCAAAGACUCAGCUAUGAAAACAGAAACACUGAAUCUGCUGGAAGGUAAAACAGAUACAGCUCUGGAAGGCACAGGCAUAGUAGAGACUUCCUGGACAGAACCCCCUUUGCACAAGAAAUAACAUCAAGAAUCAACAAAUGGGAUCGUAUCAAAUUGAAAAGCUUCUGCACAGCAAAGGAAACAACUGAGUGAAAAGACAAUCUACAGAAUGAGGAAAGAAUUUCACAGUUAUUCCUCUGACAGAGGAUUACUCUCUAGAAUAUAUAAGGAGGGCCAGGGAUUUAGCUCAGUGGUGCCACCGCCUGCCUCACAAAUGCAAGGUCCUGAGUUCAAUCCCUGGUACAAAAAAAAAGACACCCCCUCCAAAAUAAAAGACCAAAUAAAAAAAAGGGAAAUUGAAAUGAGUAGACACUUCUCAGAAGAAGUAGUACAAAUGGCCAGUAAACACAUGUACAAAUGUUCAUUAUCUUUGUGUAUUAAAGCAAUUCAAAUCAAAACAACACUGGGGUUUUACCUUAUUCCAGAAAAAAAUGACCAUCAUGAAUAAAUCAAAUAAUAACAAAUGCUGGCGAGGCUUCAGGGGAAAAAGGAACCCUUCUUUCUACAUUGUUGGUGGGAGUAUAAACUAGUAGAACUACCAUGGAAAUCAGCCUGGAGAUCCCUCAAAAACGAAACAUGGAAACUCCAUUCAACCCAGCUAUUCUUGUAGGUAUCUUUCCAAAAGGGUUAGACAUUAUAUUACAGUGAUACAUUUAUACCCGUGUUUAUAACAGCACAAAUAAAACAACAACAACACAACCCAGCACAAAUCAUAGUAGCUAAAACUUGGAAGAGACCUAUAUGUCCAUCAACAGAUGACUGAAUAAAGAAAAUGUGGUACUUAUGUACAAUGGAGUAUUACUGUGCUAUAAAGAAGGAUACAUUUGAGGCAUUUGUAGAAAAAUGGAUGCACCUCAAGACCAUAAGUUUAAGUGAAAUAAAUCAGACACAGAAGCUUAAAUAUCAUAUAGCUUCUCUUAUAUGAGAAACCCGAAGUAUAAAUAAUUUAAAGAGCAAAAUAAAGGAUGGAUAAUAAUCAGGGAGAUCUUUUGUGAAUGGGAAAGGGAUCUACAGAUGGGGGAGUGGAAAUAAAAAGAAUUCAGGUGUGUUCUGUACAUGUGUCAGUUCUCUGUGAUGAAUGUAAUCACUGUGUACUGCAAACAUGUAGUAAUAAAAAUUAAAAAAUAAGAAAUAGCUCAUUUCUAGACAUAUUGCUCCUCAACUUAUAAUGGUAGUAUGUCCCAGUAGUUGAGAAUAUUAUAAGUGAAAAUGCAUUUAAUUCACUGCCAGAUGUUAGACUUCGAGGCCUGGUCCACUGUCCAGUUUGUGCCUUCCUCUGCUCUGGGUUUCGGCUCACGGCCACUGCCCAGCAGACAGAAUCCAACCCAGGUGAGCCCAGAGAAGAUCAAAAUUCAAAAUGUGACCUCCUUUCCUCCCUCGCGCCCACCUUCCUUUCUCCCUUCCUCUCCAUACUCCGAACUGACCCCAGGGCCUUGGACACGCUAGGAAAGCACUGUAGUGCUGAGCUACAUCCAUAGCCCUUUUUAUAUAUUUUUUUGUUCUUUUUGUUUGUUUGGUACCGACGAUCGAACUCAGGUCCUUGCGCUUGCACAGCAGGCGGCAAAACCACUGAGCUAAAUCCCUGGCCCCUACUUCCUUUUUUUUUCAGACAGGGUCUUGCUAUGUAGUUCAGUCUGGCCUUACAUGCACUAUUAGCUCAGGCUGGCCUCAAACCUGUGCCAAUCCUCCUCCUCAGCCUCCUGAGUCCUGAGAUUACAGGCAUGCACUACUACACCCGGCCCCAAAUCAGCUUUUGUAAAAAGUGAGAGAAAGAAGUCACACAAUUGCAGAUCCACACCAACUGGCAUGUACCCCUCUGUGGCGAUUGACUAAUGGUCAACUUGGAGCCCAGCUGUACUGAAUCAGUGUGGUCUGGGCGUGGAAGACCCACCUGAGGAUUGUCGUCAGUGGCAUAAAGAGAGACCUGGAGGGGAAGAUCAUGUGCUGUUGAUUUUCUAGGAGAAGCUUGCUGGGGCUGGUUUUCUGAUGCAAACUUGGCUGUUCUUGUCUUCGGAGGAGCUCAGGGUCUCGGUGUCGCUGGGAAUGGCUGCUGUUCUCGUCAGGGGAGCUCUGAUUUUUCCUUGAGCAUCAGUUUGUGGCUCUAGCUUAGAUCCCUCGGCCUGGUGGCAUAGACCCUUCACCCUGGGGCACAGGCUUUCUGGCUUCCACCAGUGGCCUUUGGGCUUUUCUGGUGCAGAUCCUUGAUAUGAACUUACAUGAGACAUUGCUCUAGGGCUCUGGCUGGACUCCUGGAGGACACUGCCUUGGGCUCUAGGCCUUCAGCUGGACUUGUGUGGGACACUGCCGUGGUUUCCAGGCCCUCGGCUGGAUUCUUCAGGUCUCUAGCGUGUGGAUAGAUCUCUUGCACUCCUCUGUUUUUGACUUUUUGGAUGAAUAGUAUAAAAUAAUCAUAUAAGUUAUGUAUCCUGUUUUAGAUCGAUUCCCUUGCAAACCUUGGCUACAACACCCUCUACACCAGAGGAAAGCAUCUAAACUCUGCAUUUCAAUAAAUAACUGACGUUUUCUUGGGAUGUUCGUCUGUAGGAAAUUAUAGGCUGUGAUGUAGCGUAUCAUCAGAGAAUGUCAAGUAGAUUACAGUAUUAUGUUACUCUGAUGUCACUGCUGGGCAUUGUUUUAGUCUUUUCCUUACCAACAGACACAUUUACUAGAUCUUAUUUCAACAUCGUGUAAAGAAAGAGUUUGUAAUAAUUUCCUUUGUGGGCAGCAUAUCUCAUGUUGGAUGACUUUUGUCCUCUUCUUUGCAGGUUGUAGCUGGCUGUUGGUCUAGUGAUGUUUUUGGGGUCUCCAGAGCAACCUGUGACCUGAAGCCAACUCUGAAAGAGGAGGAGUGGGUCAAAGACAUAGAGAUCAAAGAUUAGACAGGACAGGGUGCUUAGAGUGCUAGAUUUGGAAUUUUAAAAAAGGAAAGUGAAGAAUUAAUUUUACUCAGAGAAGUCUGGCCUGGGUCUUUAGCUGCUGGGAGAUGGUGUCUCGCCUGGGGAUGUCCUGCCUGGCGGGAAGAUCUGUUUGCCUGAGGAGCCUGGCCAGCAGGUGGCUGAGCAGUGUGAUUCAUAAUGGGGCUUUGCACCUGGCCGCAUCAGUCCCCACGGAAGGGAGACGAAAGGGCAUCCUUGGCACGGAAUCCUGGGGUGAGCAUCCUGGUAAGCAGGAUGCUUCAGCUUUGCCUCCCCAAGAGACUGGGAGGAAGAGAUGACAGGAGAAGACAGAAGCUUUGUGUUCGGGCCCUUUUCAGAGUUUGCCCUGUGUGUUCUUUUGGCAGCUUCUGAUUUGUAUCCUUUUGCUAUAAUAAAACUUUAAUUGUAAGUAUUUUGCUUUCCUGAGUUCUGUGAGUUAUUCUAGUAAAUGAUCAAACCAGAGGAGACAGCAGGCCCCCUGGACUUGUGUCUGCAGACACAGAGGGCCUGGAGGUGCCUGGCAGAUCUCCAGAACUCCUUACCUUUUCUUGCCUCACUAUGGAGUAGCUGUUCUACCCCUUCCCCGGCCUCACUAGCAGCUGCAGCUUGGCACUGGACCUGCCCGGCACACUGGCUGAAGCAGUAUUCCUAAGUGUCA